AUUCAGGUCAUACACAGCAUCAUCUGCAUCCCGGGGGUCAUCAAAUUCAACAAACCCAUAUCUGCACAGAGGAAGAGAACAAGUUUAACACGGUGGCAGAGCAAAUGACUGAGAUGAACGAUGUGGACAUAGAACACCAUCUGGGUAGGGAUGGGUAUUGAUAGCAUUUUAUCAUUA